AAUGAACGCCGGCGGCAUGCCUUACACAUGCAAGUCGAACGGCAGCGCGGACUUCGGUCUGGCGGCGAGUGGCGAACGGGUGAGUAAUACAUCGGAACGUACCCUGUUGUGGGGGAUAACUAGUCGAAAGAUUAGCUAAUACCGCAUACGACCUGAGGGUGAAAGUGGGGGACCGCAAGGCCUCACGCAGCAGGAGCGGCCGAUGUCUGAUUAGCUAGUUGGUGGGGUAAAGGCCCACCAAGGCGACGAUCAGUAGCUGGUCUGAGAGGACGAUCAGCCACACUGGGACUGAGACACGGCCCAGACUCCUACGGGAGGCAGCAGUGGGGAAUUUUGGACAAUGGGGGCAACCCUGAUCCAGCAAUGCCGCGUGUGUGAAGAAGGCCUUCGGGUUGUAAAGCACUUUUGUCCGGAAAGAAAUCGCGCUGGUUAAUACCUGGCGUGGAUGACGGUACCGGAAGAAUAAGCACCGGCUAACUACGUGCCAGCAGCCGCCGUAA
rnacentral:rRNA from 1 species